GGGUUGUGAGGUUAAGCGACUAAGCGUACACGGUGGAUGCCCUGGCAGUCAGAGGCGAUGAAGGACGUGCUAAUCUGCGAUAAGCGCCGGUAAGGUGAUAUGAACCGUUAUAACCGGCGAUUUCCGAAUGGGGAAACCCAGUGUGAUUCGUCACACUAUCAUUAACUGAAUCCAUAGGUUAAUGAGGCGAACCGGGGGAACUGAAACAUCUAAGUACCCCGAGGAAAAGAAAUCAACCGAGAUUCCCCCAGUAGCGGCGAGCGAACGGGGAGGAGCCCAGAGCCUGAAUCAGCAUGUGUGUUAGUGGAAGCGUCUGGAAAGGCGCGCGAUACAGGGUGACAGCCCCGUACACAAAAGCGCAUGUGCUGUGAGCUCGAUGAGUAGGGCGGGACACGUGGUAUCCUGUCUGAAUAUGGGGGGACCAUCCUCCAAGGCUAAAUACUCCUGACUGACCGAUAGUGAACCAGUACCGUGAGGGAAAGGCGAAAAGAACCCCGGCGAGGGGUGAAAAGAACCUGAAACCGUGUACGUACAAGCAGUGGGAGCACCCUUCGGGUGUGACUGCGUACCUUUGUAUAAUGGGUCAGCGACUUAUAUUCUGUAGCAAGGUUAACCGUAUAGGGGAGCCGGAGGGAAACCGAGUCUUAAUUGGGCGUUAAGUUGCAGGGUAUAGACCCGAAACCCGGUGAUCUAGCCAUGGGCAGGUUGAAGGUUGGGUAACACUAACUGGAGGACCGAACCGACUAAUGUUGAAAAAUUAGCGGAUGACCUGUGGCUGGGGGUGAAAGGCCAAUCAAACCGGGAGAUAGCUGGUUCUCCCCGAAAGCUAUUUAGGUAGCGCCUCGUGAAUUCAUCUCCGGGGGUAGAGCACUGUUUCGGCUAGGGGGCCAUCCCGGCUUACCAACCCGAUGCAAACUGCGAAUACCGGAGAAUGUUAUCACGGGAGACACACGGCGGGUGCUAACGUCCGUCGUGAAGAGGGAAACAACCCAGACCGCCAGCUAAGGUCCCAAAGUCAUGGUUAAGUGGGAAACGAUGUGGGAAGGCCCAGACAGCCAGGAUGUUGGCUUAGAAGCAGCCAUCAUUUAAAGAAAGCGUAAUAGCUCACUGGUCGAGUCGGCCUGCGCGGAAGAUGUAACGGGCUAAACCAUGCACCGAAGUUGGCAGCGAACGUAUCACCCAAGACAACUUUACGGAGUUGACGAUUGACGGAGCGAAGCGACGUCAAAGCGUUCAUUAAAGUCGAGUUGGCUUAGGGAUACGUUCGUUGGGUAGGGGAGCGUUCUGUAAGCCUGUGAAGGUGUGUCGUGAGGCAUGCUGGAGGUAUCAGAAGUGCGAAUGCUGACAUAAGUAACGAUAAAGCGGGUGAAAAGCCCGCUCGCCGGAAGACCAAGGGUUCCUGUCCAACGUUAAUCGGGGCAGGGUGAGUCGACCCCUAAGGCGAGGCCGAAAGGCGUAGUCGAUGGGAAACGGGUUAAUAUUCCCGUACUUGGUGUUACUGCGAAGGGGGGACGGAGAAGGCUAUGUUGGCCGGGCGACGGUUGUCCCGGUUUAAGCGUGUAGGUGUGUGUUCCAGGUAAAUCCGGUUCACUUUAACACUGAGGCGUGACGACGAGGCACUACGGUGCUGAAGCAACAAAUGCCCUGCUUCCAGGAAAAGCCUCUAAGCAUCAGGUAACAUCAAAUCGUACCCCAAACCGACACAGGUGGUCAGGUAGAGAAUACCAAGGCGCUUGAGAGAACUCGGGUGAAGGAACUAGGCAAAAUGGUGCCGUAACUUCGGGAGAAGGCACGCUGACACGUAGGUGAAGUGAUUUACUCAUGGAGCUGAAGUCAGUCGAAGAUACCAGCUGGCUGCAACUGUUUAUUAAAAACACAGCACUGUGCAAACACGAAAGUGGACGUAUACGGUGUGACGCCUGCCCGGUGCCGGAAGGUUAAUUGAUGGGGUCAGCGCAAGCGAAGCUCCUGAUCGAAGCCCCGGUAAACGGCGGCCGUAACUAUAACGGUCCUAAGGUAGCGAAAUUCCUUGUCGGGUAAGUUCCGACCUGCACGAAUGGCGUAAUGAUGGCCAGGCUGUCUCCACCCGAGACUCAGUGAAAUUGAACUCGCUGUGAAGAUGCAGUGUACCCGCGGCAAGACGGAAAGACCCCGUGAACCUUUACUAUAGCUUGACACUGAACAUUGAGCCUUGAUGUGUAGGAUAGGUGGGAGGCUUUGAAGUGUGGACGCCAGUCUGCAUGGAGCCGACCUUGAAAUACCACCCUUUAAUGUUUGAUGUUCUAACGUGGACCCGUUACCCGGGUUGCGGACAGUGUCUGGUGGGUAGUUUGACUGGGGCGGUCUCCUCCUAAAGAGUAACGGAGGAGCACGAAGGUUGGCUAAUCCUGGUCGGACAUCAGGAGGUUAGUGCAAUGGCAUAAGCCAGCUUGACUGCGAGCGUGACGGCGCGAGCAGGUGCGAAAGCAGGUCAUAGUGAUCCGGUGGUUCUGAAUGGAAGGGCCAUCGCUCAACGGAUAAAAGGUACUCCGGGGAUAACAGGCUGAUACCGCCCAAGAGUUCAUAUCGACGGCGGUGUUUGGCACCUCGAUGUCGGCUCAUCACAUCCUGGGGCUGAAGUAGGUCCCAAGGGUAUGGCUGUUCGCCAUUUAAAGUGGUACGCGAGCUGGGUUUAGAACGUCGUGAGACAGUUCGGUCCCUAUCUGCCGUGGGCGCUGGAGAACUGAGGGGGGCUGCUCCUAGUACGAGAGGACCGGAGUGGACGCAUCACUGGUGUUCGGGUUGUCAUGCCAAUGGCACUGCCCGGUAGCUAAAUGCGGAAGAGAUAAGUGCUGAAAGCAUCUAAGCACGAAACUUGCCCCGAGAUGAGUUCUCCCUGAGACUUAGAGUCUCCUGAAGGAACGUUGAAGACGACGACGUUGAUAGGCCGGGUGUGUAAGCGCAGCGAUGCGUUGAGCUAACCGGUACUAAUGAACCGUGAGGCUUAACCUUACAACGCCGAAG
rnacentral:rRNA from 1 species